rnacentral:rRNA from 1 species
AAUGAACGCUAGCGGGAUGCCUUACACAUGCAAGUCGAACGAGUGGCGGACGGGUGAGUAAUAUAGCGGAACGUGCCCUGUAGCGGGGGAUAACUACUCGAAAGAGUGGCUAAUACCGCAAAGUAUUGGAGCGGCCGUUAUCGGAUUAGCUAGUUGGUGGGGGAAAGGCUCACCAAGGCAACGAGCCGUAGCCGGUUUGCGAGGACGACCAGCCACACUGGGACUGAGACACGGCCCAGACUCCUACGGGAGGCAGCAGUGGGGAAUUUUGGACAAUGGGGGAAACCCUGAUCCAGCCAUCCCGCGUGUAUGAGAAGGCCUUCGGGUUGUAAAGUACUUUUGGCAGAGAAGCGGUAUCUGCAGAAUAAGCACCGGCUAACUACGUGCCAGCCGCCGCGGUAAUAC